rnacentral:snRNA from 1 species
CGACAAAGGGUCCUUGAGAGUU